AAGCAUUCCUAGUCACUUGUAUACGGCUUUUAAAUAAAAAUGCCGAAAGUGACUCGUAAAUCAGUGUUGUUGCAGUCCAGUGCAUUGUACCGAUCAGGAUGACGGACCUCGCAAAGCCUUAGUAAACGAUGUUCGAGUCUGCUAUGACAAUCCAUCCGGUAAUAUUUGACAUAGAUCCGGUCAUUUUGGUUGCACGCGGUGAUUAUUGACUGCAAGGUGGAGGUGAGGCUAUCGUCACCUAUGACGUUCCUCUGGAAGCUUCCGGCGUCCUGCACAUAGAAGCGUGACUUUUGUAGACGGAGGGUUAGGGUUUACCUGACCGAGAUAACGAACAGCACAAAUAUGAUGAAGAAUAGCAGGCAUCCGCACAGACAGAUUUGGUACAGACCAGACCAAAUCAAAUGAUCUAACUGCAAAGGCGCAGAGAAACAAUAAUUUACCUGGGGCUUGCACGGGCCUGACAGAAUGCCUAUAGUCGGAAACGGAACAAAUUUUGCGAUUCACCCAAGUUUUUCGAAUGAACUCAGAAACUUCUGGACUGACAAAGAAGAAUCUUCCAGUCAGUUGGGGAACGUACUGUUAAAGUUUUGUUCAUUGUCGGUCACUGAACGGCAUCGAGGUAAUUAGCUAGGAAAUAGGGUCGCAAAUUUUUAUUUUUUUAAAAACUUUUUAGCUGUUUUAUACAGGAACAUUUAUUUAGCCCCAAUGCAGUCAUAUACAUCACUAAUUGCAUCUCUAUAAAGAAAUGUAUUGUGAGAUGUGUUUCUUAUAUGAUUGUAUAAUUAUUGAGGGGUAUCUAUAUAUUAGAGUCUCAUUUCUUAUGAUGUUGAAAUUUUUACUUAAAAAGACUCGAUCCUUGAUGAACUAAUAUAGAAUCAUUCAAUUU